UGAACGACUCUCGGCAACGGAUAUCUCGGCUCUUGCAUCGAUGAAGAACGUAGCGAAAUGCGAUACUUGGUGUGAAUUGCAGAAUCCCGUGAACCAUCGAGUCUUUGAACGCAAGUUGCGCCCGAGGCCAUUAGGUCGAGGGCACGUCUGCCUGGGCGUCACAC
rnacentral:rRNA from 1 species